rnacentral:ncRNA from 1 species
AAUAUAUGCAAUUUUUGUAUUUAAGGUUAGAAAGCAGUAUAAAGUUUUAAAUAUUAGAUGAUUCUUGAAUUAGUAAAUUAUUUUAGUACAAACAAAAUUUGUGCCAGCAGUAGCGGUUACACAAAUUGUGCAGGUUAAAUUUAUCUGGUGAAAUUAGAAGUAUAAAUUAUUAGAUUUAAAUUAAUAUUUUUUAGGUGAAAUUUUAAAUUUUAGUUAGGUCAUUUAAUUAUUUUUGAGGUUUAGAAAUUUUUUAUUAGACUAGGAUUAGAUACCCUAUUAUUAUAAGCGUUAUUGUGUUACCUAGAUUAUUAUUAGUUAUGUUCUUUAAAAUUAAAAGAUUUGGCGGUAUUUUAGUCUUUUCAGAGGAACCUGUUUUUUAAAUGAUAAUCCACGAUGAUUAAUACUUUUGUUUUUAAUUUAUAUAUCGUCGUUAUAAAAAUCUUUUUAGAGUUAUAAUUUUUAUGAUUUUUUAUAAAAGGGUAAGUCAGAUCAAGGUGUAGUUUAUACAGAAGUUUUAAUGGGUUACAAUAUAUAUAUAUUUGGAUUAGAAUUUUUGAAUUUUUAUGAAAUUGGAUUUGUUAGUAAUUUUAGAAUCUUUAUAAGAUGAUUUAGCUCUAAAAUAUGCACAUAUCGCCCGUCGCUUUCAUUAUAAAAUGAAAUAAGUCGUAACAAAGUAGGCUUAUUGGAAAAUGAGCCUAGAAUGA